rnacentral:rRNA from 1 species
AUGGCGGCCGCCUCGGAGGAGGCCAUCAAGCAGUUCUCCGUCCUCAUGGAGCAGCUGGAGGAGCCCCUCAAGACCACAUUCCAGAAUGUGCACCAAGGAUAUCCAAGAGGGACUCUGCUGCGUUUUCUGAAGGCCAGAGAGUGGAACGUUCCUAAAGCUUACAAAAUGCUAAUGGACUGCUUAAAUUGGAGGCUUCAGAAUGAGAUUGACAGCGUUCUUGCCAAACCAAUAUUGCCCGCUGAUUUGUAUAGAUCUAUUCGUGAUACACUGCUUGUUGGAUUAACAGGAUAUUCCAAGCAGGGUCAACCUGUCUAUGCAUUCGGUGUUGGGCUCAGUACCUUUGACAGAGCAUCGGUGAACUACUAUUUGCAGUCUCACAUACAGAUGAAUGAGUAUCGAGAUCGUGUUGUCCUGCCAGGUGCUUCUGAGAUGUCCGGAAAACAGAUUAACACCUGCUUGAAAGUUAUGGAUAUGACUGGCCUGAAGCUUUCUGCUUUGAACCAAAUAAAGAUGUUGAGCACGAUAACAGCUGUUGAUGACCUUAAUUAUCCUGAGAAAACCGAGACGUAUUACAUUGUGAAUGCUCCAUAUGUUUUUUCGGCAUGUUGGAAGGUUGUGAAGCCUCUUUUACAAGAGCGAACUAAAAAGAAGAUCAAAGUCUUAUAUGGCCCUGGAAGAGAUGAAUUACUGAAGGUUAUGGACUACGCGUCACUCCCGCACUUCUGCAAGAGGGAAGGGUCCGGUUCGGGUUCGUCGUCGGACGAAGUCGACUGCUACUCGUACGACCAUCCUUUCCACCAGGAGCUGUACAACUAUGUGAAGCAGCAAGCUCUGAGGAACCAGGACAGCGUCGGCCCCGCGAAGCAAGGGUCGAUGCAUGUGAGGGUGCCGACGCCGGACCUGGAGGAGGCCAAGAUCAUGGAGACGAUCCAGUCGGAGCUCCACAGCCUCAAGGCAGGCGACGGCAUUUCCCGCUCCUUCAGCAGGAUCACGAUCGAAGGUCCAUGA